rnacentral:rRNA from 1 species
AUUGAACGCUGGCGGCAGGCCUAACACAUGCAAGUCGAACGAGUGGCGGACGGGUGAGUAAUGUCUGGGAAACUGCCUGAUGGAGGGGGAUAACUACUGGAAACGGUAGCUAAUACCGCAUACCAUCGGAUGUGCCCAGAUGGGAUUAGCUAGUUGGUGGGGUAACGGCUCACCAAGGCGACGAUCCCUAGCUGGUUUGAGAGGAUGACCAGCCACACUGGGACUGAGACACGGUCCAGACUCCUACGGGAGGCAGCAGUGGGGAAUAUUGCACAAUGGGGGCAAGCCUGAUGCAGCCAUGCCGCGUGUAUGAAGAAGGCCUUCGGGUUGUAAAGUACUUUCGGCGGAGAGGCGUUACCCGCAGAAGAAGCACCGGCUAACUCCGUGCCAGCAGCCGCGGUAAUUC